AUGGAGUCUGUCUCUCGUCUCUCCGCGCUGAUGGCCGUGGGAAGACCUUUCUCUCUCCGAAGCCAGCUCCGCCAUGUGCGAGCCCCACGACCUUUCUCCCACAUCCUACCCCCUCAUCUCCGUGGCCACCACCGUUCUUCCCCCGAGCUCUUCCUCUUCUGCAUUUUUUGGUUGACAGUUCAUGUUUCUCUCAUCGCUGGAAAGCGAUGCCAACAAGUGCGCGUGACCUCUCCUCUCCCUUCCGUCCUCCGCGGGGAGCAAAGCGGGAAAGAGAGAGACAAUGAGAAACGGGAAGCAAACGAACAGGAAACACCGCUGAGAGACAAGAGGGGAAUGUGAACGGAAUCCCAGGCUGACAGGCAGGUCGUGGCUGCUCAGAGCAGCCCGUCCCGUUCUGAGCGUGUUCAUAAUUUUCUCAGCAGAUCCUGCUUUAUUCCUGCUGGCCUAUGGAUCCAUUUGAAAAUGUCCAAACAGAACUGCCUCCUUCAUGGAAUAGCACCGUCGUGUGUGGUCAACAGGCUGACGUGUGUGGUCCGGCGCCUUCACGGAGAAGUUUCAGCCGCAGGAGACGGGCCGUGCAGCUGCUGGCAGGGUGUGGGAGAGCGGGGUGACCCCGAAGCAGCACCU